rnacentral:rRNA from 1 species
GCUUCUUGGUGAUUCAUGAUAACUUAACGGAUCGCAUGGCCUUGCGCCGGCGACGGUUCAUUCAAAUUUCUGCCCUAUCAACUUUCGAUGGUAAGGUAGUGGCUUACCAUGGUUUCAACGGGUAACGGGGAAUUAGGGUUCGAUUCCGGAGAGGAAGCCUGAGAAACGGCUACCACAUCCAAGGAAGGCAGCAGGCGCGCAAAUUACCCAAUCCCGAUUCGGGGAGGUAGUGACAAUAAAUACUGAUACAGGGCUCUUUUGGGUCUUGUAAUUGGAAUGAGUACAAUUUAAACCUCUUAACGAGGAACAAUUGGAGGGCAAGUCUGGUGCCAGCAGCCGCGGUAAUUCCAGCUCCAAUAGCGUAUAUUAAAGUUGUUGCAGUUAAAAAGCUCGUAGUUGAACCUUGGGCCUGGCUGGCGGGUCCGCCUCACCGCGUGUACUUGUCCGGCCGGGCCUUCCUUCUGGAGAACCUCAUGCCCUUCACUGGGCGUGUUGGGGACCAGGACUUUUACUUUGAAAAAAUUAGAGUGUUCAAAGCAGGCCUUUGCUCGAAUACGUUAGCAUGGAAUAAUAAAAUAGGACGUGCGGUCCUAUUUUGUUGGUUUCUAGGACCGCCGUAAUGAUUAAUAGGGACAGUCGGGGGCAUCAGUAUUCAAUUGUCAGAGGUGAAAUUCUUGGAUUUAUUGAAGACUAACUACUGCGAAAGCAUUUGCCAAGGAUGUUUUCAUUAAUCAGUGAACGAAAGUUAGGGGAUCGAAGACGAUCAGAUACCGUCGUAGUCUUAACCGUAAACUAUGCCGACUAGGGAUUGGGCGAUGUUCUUUUUCUGACUCGCUCGGCACCUUACGAGAAAUCAAAGUUUUUGGGUUCUGGGGGGAGUAUGGUCGCAAGGCUGA